AAACCUCUCGCCUCACUUCAAGUUUUAUGACGACCCCUAGCACCGGUUUACGUCUGGUUUAUUAAAAAUGUACAAUAAAACAUCAAACCGAUCAAGCUGGCUACAAAGAACAACUUAUAGAAUCUUUGUCAAAAAGUCACUAGAAGUUUAUUUGACUUUCGAACCAUACUUUUUUCUUCCAAAUAAGAAAUCAGAAAAUCAUAGACCACCAAUAGGACGAAAUUUUUAUAUGGCCAACUUUGCAGUGUUGGCAUCAAGUUCCUCACCUUAAAUUAUAACGAAUCAUAAAGUUAUAUAAUUUUAGACGUUAAGUGAUCCGAUGUUCUGAAACUGAUGGCAAACAUUUAGAAUAAUAUAUAGAUGUAGAGAUAGAAAUUAUGGGGAAGUGUUGAUGUACAAACGAUAGAACAACACAUGGAAAACACAUAAUACGGCAGAAAUAAAUUACCACAGAACAGCAGGUCGUUACAGAUGUGAUGCAUACUCACUAUGGGGAUAUCAGCCGUCAAAGGAUUAGCAAAUUGUGGAAACGAGAGUAACAGAUCAGUGAGAGCUUCUGACAAAUUUACUUUUCGCUUUACACGUAAUUAUAACUGACUGACUGAUUCGGUUCUAAUUAAUUUAAGAAAACUGGCUUGGUGUAAAGACUUCAAAGGGGAAACAAUGUACACAUAUGUAUGGGUUGAACGUUAAAGUUUCUAAACAUUUCCACCUCGAUGAAAUUUUGGGUAAUUUAGAAGUAACGCUCGUAUACGAACAGAUAAACAGGUUAACUUCUUGAAGAACAAAACAUGAUUAGUCCAGAUUGUAUUGUAUGUAACUGUAGCUCUCAAUAAAUAUUAUUUUAGA